rnacentral:misc_RNA from 1 species
GAAAUGCGAUAAGUAAUGUGAAUUGCAGAAUUCAGUGAAUCAUCGAAUCUUUGAACGCACAUUGCGCCCCUUGGUAUUCCGGGGGGCAUGCCUGUUCGAGCGUCAUUACACCACUCAAGCCUGGCUUGGUAUUGGAUGUCGCGCCCGCCUCGGGUGCGCGCCCUAAUGUCUCCGGCUGGGCCGUCUGUCUCCCAAGCGUUGUGGACUAUCAGUUCGCUUGCGGGUCCGGGCGUGUCCGUCGCCGUUAAACACCCCAUCACAGGUUGACCUCGGAUCAGGUAGGGAUACCCGCUGAACUUAAGC